CCGGCGAGUGAAAAUUCGAAUCAGUUAGGUCUCGGUUAUCAUCGUGUUGACGCGGAGAUGCAAGGUGAUCAUUCACAUGGGUACAUCUGAUGAGACAAUAUCUUUGCAAUGUACUAACAGGUGUUAUCUUUCCAAAACAUAAAAUAACAGGAUUAUGAUUAUGUGAUUAUUUUUUAUUUACAAUAUAUAUCAUUGUUGUGUGGUACAUAUUUCAUUUUCCUCAUGAUUAGGUAUAAGUGUGUGUUUGAAUUUAUUAUGUUAUGAGUUGUUUCGUAUCAUAUUUCGUCAUUUUUAUAUAUUGUUUAGUGCAUGAUGAAUGUUUGCAGUUCUUGGAUGUUGGCGAUGGAAGUGGUAUAGCAGUGUAUUAACUAGUGCGUGUAGACUAAAAUUUAAGUUUUGUAAUUUUGGAUAUUGUUUGUUGUUAAUAGUAGUAAUUGCAGACCUUAAUAUUAGUUAUUUUUUGAAUGACAAGUUGACUUUCUUUAAAUUUUCUUAUCUUUGAAAUUUGAAUUUUCUCUCCAUGUUUAAUUUGAAUUUUUGCGUUUCAAUUAGAGAUAAUUUGAUAAGAUAAUUGUUGUGUUUUAAAUUGAUAAUUACUGAUUAUUGUACCUGAAUUCCAUAAUUCAUGGGGGCCAUAAAUGAUGGCUUUAUUGUGCCUUAAUGAGGUAUUAUUGCGCCAAUAAGGGUUGAUUUGUUGAUUGGUGUAUACCA
rnacentral:lncRNA from 1 species